rnacentral:rRNA from 1 species
CCUACGGGUGGCAGCAGUGGGGAAUAUUGCACAAUGGGGGAAACCCUGAUGCAGCGACGCCGCGUGAGUGAAGAAGUAACUCGUUAUGUAAAGCUCUAUCAGCAGGGAAGAAAAUGACGGUACCUGAGUAAGAAGCCCCGGCUAACUACGUGCCAGCAGCCGCGGUAAUACGGAGGGGGCAAGCGUUAUCCGGAUUUACUGGGUGUAAAGGGAGCGUAGACGGGUGUGCAAGUCUGGAGUGAAAGGCGGGGGCUCAACCCCCGGACUGCUAUUGAAACUGUACGGCUUGAGUGCAGGAGAGGUAGGCGGAAUUCGUAGUGUAGCGGUGAAAUGCGUAGAUAUUACGAAGAACUCCAAUGGCGAAGGCGGCUUACUAGACUGUAACUGACGUUGAGGCUCGAAAGCGUGGGGAGCAAACAGGAUUAGAUACCCUUGUAGUC